rnacentral:rRNA from 1 species
AGAGUUUGAUCCUGGCUCAGAACGAACGCUGGCGGCGUGCCUAAUACAUGCAAGUUGAGCGAGAAAGUGGGGGCAACCCCGCGAGUACAGCAGCGAACGGGUGAGUAACACGUAAGCAAUUUACCUCUAAGUCUGGAAUAACACUGCCAACGCGGUGCUAAUACCUGAUGUGAUCGUUGAGUCGCAUGGCAUGACGAUCAAAGAUGACCUCUCCAUGGAAGUUGUCGCUUAGAGAUGAGCUUGCGGCCCAUUAGCUAGUUGGCAGGGUAACGGCCUACCAAGGCUGUGAUGGGUAGCCGGCCUGAGAGGGUGACCGGCCACAUUGGGACUGAGAUACGGCCCAGACUCCUACGGGAGGCAGCAGUAGGGAAUUUUGCGCAAUGGGCGAAAGCUUGACGCAGCAACGCCGCGUGAGGGAUGAAGGUCUUCGGAUUGUAAACCUCUGUUGAGUGGGAAGAAACUCUUCCGGGAUAAUACCCGAGAAGACUGACGGUACCACUUGAGGAAGCUCCGGCUAACUACGUGCCAGCAGCCGCGGUAAUACGUAGGGAGCGAGCGUUGUUCGGAAUCACUGGGCGUAAAGGGAGCGUAGGCGGGAAUGUAAGUUGGAAGUCUAAUCUUCAGGCUUAACCUGAAACCGGCUUCCAUACUGCUUUUCUUGAGUAUGGGAGAGGAUGAUGGAGUUCCAGGUGUAGCGGUGGAAUGCGUAGAUAUCUGGAAGAACACCAGUAGCGAAGGCGGUCAUCUGGCCCAAUACUGACGCUGAGGCUCGAAAGCUAGGGGAGCAAACAGGAUUAGAUACCCUGGUAGUCCUAGCUAUAAACGAUGGACACUAGAUGUUGGAGGAGUCAAUCUUUCAGCGUCGUAGCUAACGCGUUAAGUGUCCCGCCUGGGGAGUACGCCCGCAAGGGUGAAACUCAAAGGAAUUGACGGGGGCCCGCACAAGCGGUGGAGCAUGUGCUUUAAUUCGAUGCAACGCGAAGAACCUUACCUGGGUUUGACAUGGGAGUGAAAGCCUUUAGAGAUAGAGGCCCUUCCGCAAGGAACACUCUACACAGGUGCUGCAUGGUUGUCGUCAGCUCGUGUCGUGAGAUGUUGGGUUAAGUCCCGCAACGAGCGCAACCCUCGCCCUUAGUUGCCAUCAGGUAAUGCUGGGAACUCUAAGGGGACCGCCUGGUAUAACCAGGAGGAAGGUGGGGAUGACGUCAAAUCAUCAUGGCUCUUACGUCCAGGGCUAGACACGUGCUACAAUGGUCAGUACAAUGGGAUGCGAGGUUGCGAAGCCAAGCAAAUCCCCUAAAACUGAUCUCAGUCCGGAUUGGGGUCUGCAAUUCGACUCCAUGAAGCUGGAAUCGCUAGUAAUCGUGGAUCAGAAUGCCACGGUGAAUACGUUCCCGGGCCUUGUACACACCGCCCGUCAAGCCAUGAAAGAUGGGAGUACCCGAAGUCGCCAAUAGGCGCCUAAGGUAAGACCAUUGAUUGGGGCUAAGUCGGAACAAGGUA